CUAACCUGAAGAUCCUAUAAUGAAUUGCAAAUAUUAAUAGUGCUACCAGUAUCCAAUACCGAGAUCAUUGUAUCAAAAAUUGAGAAGUUAUAAGGUUUUAUCAUAUAAUUGCCUUAUCUAACAACUGAUUGCUUCUUCUUCUUUGGCCUGUUCGGGUCAAGAGAAGCUAAGUAUUGAGGACAGUUUCUCUUCCAGUGACCCUACUUCUUACAAUAGAAGCACUUUGUCUGACUUUGGUCGGCCUUGAACUUUAGCUUCUGGGUCAGACUCCC
rnacentral:lncRNA from 1 species